rnacentral:lncRNA from 1 species
GAGAAUCAAUCCCCGCUGGAGCUGUAGGGACUUACCUACCAAAUCUACCAUCGAAAAGAACUCUAGAAUUAGAAGAAUGUUACUAUAUGCCCAAGAUCAUUAGAAAUAUCAUAUCUAUACCUCUUUUAUUACAUAAUGGAUAUGAAAUGAAACUUAUGGGCAAUGGUUGCUCCAUAUUUCAUUCUAAUGAAUUAUUUGGCAAUGGGUAUUUUGGAUAA